GGAGAGAAGGUGGUCUGGAAGCACUGCUGGUUGGAUCGGUAUUCGUGGGAAUCCGGAGGGAGAAGAGCGAGAAAGGAAAGAAGGAGCAGGAGGAAAACAGAAGACAAGAAAGAGUCGAUUUUCAUGCCAAUCAUUGGAACAAAUAGCUAACAUUUAACGUUUACACCCGCGCUGGCGGCGCCCUGGCGCUGCUCGGACCUGGAGCCGGGCUAAAAUGUCCCGAAAGCCUUUGGAGAGAACGAGUUUCCAGCUAUCAGAAACUAGUCUGCACUUGUACCGGGGGUCUCAUUGUCCUGCUCUGGAUGGCUAACAGCUGCCCUGCAGUGUGCAGCCCCACACCUUCUGCAUGCACCUUUCCUCUGCCCCAUCUGCCUAUCCAGGUCGCUUGGAAUCAUCGCAGACCCUCGGGGCCUUGGGAACCCGGGAAUGGCAUCACACGCCACCAGAGCACCAGUGUAGGCCUGAGCAAAGAGGUUCCAGAGUCCCCAUUCUGGCAACCAGCUCCCCAGCCCACUUGGACAUCCCCUGAAUGAAGGUGCCUGCCUCUCCACUUCUA